CCAAUAGCGUAUAUUAAAGUUGUUGCAGUUAAAAAGCUCGUAGUUGAACUUCGGGGUUUACUCAUUGGUCAGGCUUAAUUGUCUGUACUGGUGAGCUGAAUCUCUACCUUCUGAGGAACUUUCAUGCCAUUUAUUUGGUGUGAUGGGAAAUCAGGACUGUUACUUUGAAAAAAUUAGAGUGUUUAAAGCAGGCUAACGUCUGAAUACAUUAGCAUGGAAUAAUGAAAUAGGACGGACUGAUUCUAUUUCGUUGGUUUCUAGGAUCACCGUAAUGAUUAAUAGGGAUAGUUGGGGGCAUUAGUAUUCAAUUGUCAGAGGUGAAAUUCUUGGAUUUAUUGAAGACUAACUACUGCGAAAGCAUUUGCCAAGGAUGUUUUCAUUAAUCAAGAACGAAAGUUAGGGGAUCGAAGACGAUCAGAUACCGUCGUAGUCUUAACCAUAAACUAUGCCGACUAGGGAUCGGACGAAGUUAAUUUUAUAAUGACGCGUUCGGCACCUUACG
rnacentral:rRNA from 1 species